rnacentral:rRNA from 1 species
AGAGUUUGAUCAUGGCUCAGGAUGGACGCUAGCGGCAGGCUUAACACAUGCAAGUCGAGGGGUAACAUUGGUGCUUGCACCAGAUGACGACCGGCGCACGGGUGAGUAACGCGUAUGAAACCUACCUCUUACACAGGGAUAGCCAUGGGAAACUGUGAUUAAUACCUGAUAAUACUAUAAUAUGGCAUCAUAUAAUAGUUAAAGAUUUAUUGGUAAGAGAUGGUCAUGCGUACCAUUAGCUAGUUGGUGAGGUAAAAGCUCACCAAGGCCACGAUGGUUAUGGGGUCUUAAAGGAUGGUCCCACACACUGGUACUGAGACACGGACCAGACUCCUACGGGAGGCAGCAGUGAGGAAUAUUGGUCAAUGGGCGCGAGCCUGAACCAGCCAUGCCGCGUGCAGGAUGACAGUCCUAUGGAUUGUAAACUGCUUUUGUAUUGGAAGAAACUUGAUCACGUGUGAUCAACUGACGGUACAGUACGAAUAAGCAUCGGCUAACUCCGUGCCAGUAGCCGCGGUAAUACGGAGGAUGCAAGCGUUAUCCGGAUUUAUUAGGUUUAAAGGGUGCGUAGGCGGGAUAAUAAGUCAGUGGUGAAAUCCCUCAGCUUAACUGAGGCACUGCCAUUGAUACUGUUAUUCUUGAGUAUAGUUGAGGUAGGCGGAAUGUGUAAUGUAGCGGUGAAAUGCUUAGAUAUUACACAGAACACCGAUUGCGAAGGCAGCUUACUAGACUAUUACUGACGCUGAUGCACGAAAGCGUGGGUAGCGAACAGGAUUAGAUACCCUGGUAGUCCACGCCGUAAACGAUGAUCACUCGUUGUGUGCGAUACACCGUACGUGACUGAGCGAAAGCAUUAAGUGAUCCACCUGGGGAGUACGUUGGCAACAAUGAAACUCAAAGGAAUUGACGGGGGCCCGCACAAGCGGAGGAACAUGUGGUUUAAUUCGAUGAUACGCGAGGAACCUUACCUGGGCUUAAAUGCGUAAUGACGUAUCUGGAAACAGAUAUUCCUUUUAGGCAGAAUGCAAGGUGCUGCAUGGCUGUCGUCAGCUCGUGCCGUGAGGUGUCGGGUUAAGUCCCAUAACGAGCGCAACCCCUAUCAUCAGUUACCAUCGGGUAAUGCCGGGGACUCUGGUGAGACUGCCACCGUAAGGUGUGAGGAAGGUGGGGAUGACGUCAAGUCAGCACGGCCCUUAUGUCCAGGGCUACACACGUGUUACAAUGGUCGGUACAAAGGGCAGCUACCUGGUGACAGGAUGCUAAUCUCAAAAAUCGGUCUCAGUUCGGAUCGAAGUCUGCAACUCGACUUCGUGAAGUUGGAUUCGCUAGUAAUCGUAUAUCAGCAACGAUACGGUGAAUACGUUCCCGGGCCUUGUACACACCGCCCGUCAAGCCAUGGAAGCCGGGGGUACCUGAAGUUCGUAACCGCAAGGAUCGACCUAGGGUAAAACUGGUAACUGGGGCUAAGUCGUAACAAGGUA